rnacentral:tRNA from 1 species
GCCAAUGUAGCUCAGGGGUAGAGCACUUCCAUGGUAAGGAAGGGGUCGGGGGUUCAAAUCCCCCCGCUGGCUCGA